rnacentral:rRNA from 1 species
UGGGGAAUAUUGCACAAUGGGCGCAAGCCUGAUGCAGCCAUGCCGUGUGUGUGAAGAAGGCCUUCGGGUUGUAAAGCACUUUCAGCGGGGAGGAAGGCGAUAAGGCUAAUAAUUUUGUCGAUUGACGUUACCCGCAGAAGAAGCACCGGCUAACUCCGUGCCAGCAGCCGCGGUAAUACGGAGGGUGCAAGCGUUAAUCGGAAUUACUGGGCGUAAAGCGCACGCAGGCUGUCUGUCAAGUCGGAUGUGAAAUCCCCGGGCUCAGCCUGGGAACUGCAUUCGAAGCUGGCAGGCUAGAGUCUUGUAGAGGCGGGUAGAAUUCCAGGUGUGGCGGUGAAAUGCGUAGAGAUCUGGCAGAAUACCGGUGACGAAAGCGGCCCGCUGGACAAAGACUAACGCUAAGGUGCGAAAGCGUGGGGAGCAAACAGG